rnacentral:rRNA from 1 species
GACAGAGGCCUCGAGCGUUAGGCGGAAUCACUGGGCUUAAAGCGUGUGUAGGCGGGCCCGUAAGUACCUUGUGAAAUCCCACGGCUCAACCGUGGAACGGCUGGGUAUACUGCGGGCCUUGAGCGGUCUAGGGGCAGGUGGAACAAGUGGUGGAGCGGUGAAAUGCGUAGAUAUCACUUGGAACGCCAACGGUGAAAACAGCCUGCUGGGGACCUGCUGACGCUGAGACACGAAAGCCAGGGGAGCGAACGGG